GCGUGGUGCUCUUAUUCACUGUGAAUUCUUCAGCUACAGGAGACACAGCAGGCCUAUUGUCCAAGAAGUGAACGAAAGGUGCUCAUCGACACUACUGGGACAUUAUUUUAUGCUGACAGUGCUUUGUCGAGACCUAGAAAUUUGGCAGUUUGGCAAGUCUAAAUGGGGAAGAAUAGCAGGCAACACUGCAGAGGGAGACAAUAAGUAGGUACUCUGGAGGGCAAAAUAAAGGAUGAUGACUCAGAGC
rnacentral:lncRNA from 1 species